rnacentral:rRNA from 1 species
GGCGAACGCUGGCGGCGUGCUUGACACAUGCAAGUCGAGCGGUAAGGCCUUUCGGGGUACACUAGCGGCGAACGGGUGAGUAACACGUUGGUGAUCUGCCCUGCACUUCGGGAUAAGCCUGGGAAACUGGGUCUAAUACCCGAUAUGCCCUCCUAUCGCAUGGUGGGUUGUGGAAAGAUUUAUCGGUGCAGGAUGGGCCCGCGGCCUAUCAGCUUGUUGGUGGGGUAAUGGCCGACCAAGGCGACGACGGGUAGCCGACCUGAGAGGGUGACCGGGCACAAUGGGACUGAGAGACGGCCCAGAAGGCUACGGGAGGCAGCAGGGGGGAAUAUGGCACAAUGGGCGAAAGCCUGAUGCAGCGACGCCGCGUGAGGGAUGACGGCCUUCGGGUUGUAAACCUCUUUCAGCAGGGACGAAGAGGAAGUGACGGUACCUGCAGAAGAAGCACCGGCUAACUACGUG